rnacentral:rRNA from 1 species
GAUGAACGCUGGCGGCGUGCCUAAUACAUGCAAGUCGAGCGAACGGACGAGAAGCUUGCUUCUCUGAUGUUAGCGGCGGACGGGUGAGUAACACGUGGAUAACCUACCUAUAAGACUGGGAUAACUUCGGGAAACCGGAGCUAAUACCGGAUGAUAUUUUGAACCGCAUGGUUCAAAAGUGAAAGACGGUCUUGCUGUCACUUAUAGAUGGAUCCGCGCUGCAUUAGCUAGUUGGUAAGGUAACGGCUUACCAAGGCAACGAUCCAUAGCCGACCUGAGAGGAUGAUCAGCCACAAUGGGACUGAGACACGGCCCAGACUCCUACGGGAGGCAGCAGUGGGGAAUAUUGGACAAUGGGCGAAAGCCUGAUCAAGCAAUGCCGCGUGAGUGAUGAAGGCCUUAGGGUUGUAAAGCUCUUUUACCCGGGAUGAUAAUGAGAGUAGCGGGAGAAUAAGCUCGGGCUAAGGCCGUG